rnacentral:rRNA from 1 species
AACGCAGCGAAAUGCGAUACUUGGUGUGAAUUGCAGAAUCCCGUGAACCAUCGAGUCUUUGAACGCAAGUUGCGCCCGAAGCCAAUAGGCCGAGGGCACGUCUGCCUGGGCGUCACGCAUCGCGUCUCCCCUGCACACUACGCCCAAACUAAGGGAAGUUAUGAUGCAUGGGAUGGAUAUU